UUAGGGAUCUUGCGCAAUGGGCUAACGCCUGACGCAGCGACGCCGCGUGCGGGAAGACGGCCCUCGGGUCGUAAACCGCUUUUCCCGGGGACGAGGACGGACGGUACCCGGGGAAGAAGCACCGGCUAACCCCGUGCCAGCAGCCGCGGUAAUACGGGGGGUGCGAGCGUUGUCCGGAUUCACUGGGCGUAAAGGGCGCGUAGGCGGCCCGAUCAGUCCAAUCUUCAAGCGCGGGGCUCACCCCCGCGAAGGGUUGGGGACGGUGGGGCUGGGGCGCGGUCGAGGGAUGCGGAAUGCCGGGUGUAGUGGUGAAAUGCGUAGAGAUCCGGCGGAACACCGGUGGUGGAGGCGGCAUCCUGGGCCGUGGCCGACGCUGAGGCGCGAGAGCGCGGGGAGCGAACCGG
rnacentral:rRNA from 1 species